rnacentral:rRNA from 1 species
GACGAACCGUGCGAACGUUGUUCGGAAUCACUGGGCUUAAAGGGCGCGUAGGCGGGUUCGCAAGUCCGGGGUGAAAUCUUUCGGCUCAACCGGAAAAUGGCCUUGGAUACUGCGAGUCUGGAGGGUGGUAGGGGCAGGUGGAACUUCCGGUGGAGCGGUGAAAUGCGUUGAUAUCGGAAGGAACGCCGGUGGCGAAAGCGACGGACUGGAUCUCUUCUGACGCUGAGGCGCGAAAGCCAGGGGAGCAAACGGG